GUACUUCUAUAAUGACUUCACCAUUUAAGUUAUUUGGUUAUGUUUCACCCUGGAUUUUGCCUGAUAAUAUUUAUUUUGUCCAUUGCUUUAAAAACAAAACAAAACAAAAAAACUAUAUAAAUAUAAAACAGAGUGUGAACAACAAAACAUCAGCUUUGGAAACUUUGAUGUAAAAUUCUGCAAUUGUUUUCUCAGGAUAUAGCAUGAAUAAAACUAAUAUAGAUCAGUGUAUUAUUAAUGCGCACACACACACACACACACACACACACACACACGCACAAAGUGUUACAAUAAACAGCUCUUAUGCUUCUGUAUAAUUCUCAAUGCUUUCCAUUUGUGUGUCCACAGAUUGCAGAUAAGUGGUACUUGACUGAAGUUUGCUCUAAUUUCAGGUGGUUUGUCUGUCGCAAAGCCAAUAUGAAGUCCGGCCAUGGUUGAGCCAACUGAAGAUGGGUUUUAAGGUGGUGUUCUCAUUUCCUCUCGAUACAUGUUGAAAAAUGGAGACUUUAGCCACCAAGACUGACGUGCCUGGAAACUUCCCUGUGAGUACGCCCACAAAGACAGGAAACAGUUUAACCACCACGGUUAAUCCUCCAUCAUCAUCAUCAUCAGUAUUACUUUUUUUCACAUCUUUUCUUCUGCUGUUUCCCUUUUUGUCAGUCACGGGCUUUGUGACUGAAAUGCGUGUGGUCGAUGGGAAGCCUGACGAGUACGGCCUGAAUCAUUACAUCAACACCGGACGGAGUGAAACCUUUGUUGAAAACAGAUUAUAUGGUAAAGUUGCAUUUAGCUGUGUUCAGUAAACUGUGAAGUAAAGUUACAGCAGCAGAUUUACAUCACGUGGUUUCACAGGACGUAGUCUGGACCUCAGCGCUGAGGAGAAGUUCAACCAGCUCUGCUUGCAGACGGCAUCCUUCCUGAAAAUAUUCUUCAUCUUCCUAAAACCGGAACUUUUACAUUGGUGCUGAAGUUCUAUAUAAAAAUAGCUUGAAAUACAAACUGAUGUUGUGCACUGAUUACCUCACACUCUCCAUGUUUCCUUCUACACAGGAGUGUCCGCUUCAGUGCUUUGUCUGACUGAUCUGUUGUUGAUCGUCUCACCAACGCUGCAUAAAGAUCUGACACCAUCUGUUAUGGAAAUGUGACUGAGCAACAUCUGGAGCAGUUUUUAACAAUAAAAAUGCAAAAAUCUAGAAUGUUUUUCUUCAUUAUUCAUCCUUUAUAUGAAAUAAACUGAAGAACAUCCA